CGAGCGGUAUAGGACAAUGUAUGUUCUCUUUCUUUCAAUUCCAAACAACUUAAAAUCUCGUCUAAAUAGUGUCAAAUAUUUUAUACAAGCUCUCCUCAAUAUUUCAAGACAUACAAUAAUUAUCCCCGUAUAUUUUUCAUUUUGUUAGUUCUUUUUUCUCUCGUUCUUUUAAUCUUUUCCCCAUUCCAUUAUGUUUUCAUAUCCAGACCUCUCCCGAGAAGCCCCACCUAAUUCCUUCUUCGGAUCCCUCAAUUUCCACUCUUCACUAUUUUCUCCAAUCCAGAUUCAAAAAAAUAAUUUUUCCCGGCUGUAAUGGCACCUUGUUUCUAAACAACUUAUUAACUAAAAUUUACUGCAGUAACUAAAUUAAUUUUCAACACAUCUAAUUACUCAUUUUAACGGGUGCGGGGUUGAUCAAGUUGGAGGAAAAAACAAUUGAAGAAUUUGCUCACUGGAUCUGAUCAAACUUUCUCAUUGUUUCUGAGCGGAACCAAUCAUGAAUUCCUUUUCUUUCGGCAUGCGUCUUAGGUUAGUAACCCAACCCCAAUUAAAACUCAUGUUUCUUGUGCUUGUUAUUGGAUCAAAUUUGCAAAAUAUUAUCUGGGUCAUUGAUUUUUUUUUGCUGAAAUUUUCUGAUUUUCAGUCUGAAGUUUUAGAUACGAGCUCCUCUCGAUUUGGAUUCAUUAUAUAUAAUUCACUCAAAAUAAUUUUCGUUUUUCAAAUCAUUUUCGUUUGCGGUAUUUCAAAUUUUCAAAUCGAGCUUUGAAGCUUUAGUGGUUGAUCAAUCAUAGAAAGAAGGAAGUAAAAGAAGAAAGAAGAAGGUAGAAGAAGCCAUUAAUGGCUGAAUCCCAGAAGGAAGAAGAACAAGCAGUAUGAUGAAUGGCCAGUUUGGAUAAUCUUAGUAAAGUUAGGCUAAUUUCUUUGCAGACAAAAUGACCGACGGGCGUAUCGCAUAAUUAUUCCAUAAUAUUAUCGUUAGGGAAUUUCGUCUUUGAAAGGUAAUUAUAAUCAAAGAACAGUUAAACUAUGAAAUUUCUAUUUUGUGAACCAAAAAAUUAAUAUUUCUUUAUACUAUAAUAUAUCAAAAUUGAUUGUACAAUUUAACAUUUACGUUACAGAAUAUUUAAUUUAAUAAAAGGGUGCUAAUCAAUAUAUAUAUAUAUAUACUAGUUCCACCCAGGCGCGUGCCAAGACGGGUAUUAUAUUUUUAUCUUUUAAUUAAUCUUAUUUAAUGAAAUAUUAAACAUGCUUUUUUGAUAAGUAUUCAUAAUUAUUUAAGUUAAUAAUUAUCUAAUUGAAUAAUUUAAAUUAAAAUAUUAUUUUUGAGAAAUAAAUAUAUUGUCAGAGAAUUAGAUAUAUAAAUAAUUCUUGAAGAUAAAUAAUUUUUGAAGAUAAGUAUAUAAAUAAUUUUGAUUCGCCAAAAAUAAUAAAUCAAAAAAUAUGAUACUUUUAUGAAUUUGUUAGUAUAGAUAAAAUAAAUUUAUUUUGAUGAAAAAUCUUUUUUUCUUCUUAUAGAAUUAUUUACUACAACAAAUAUUUUUAUCACUUCAAGUUUAUAUUAAAAUAAUUAGAACAUUAAUUUAGAGUCUUAACACAAAUGACGAAUAAGGACAUUAAAUAGUAAUUAAAUUACAUAAUACAUUACUCAUUUACUUGUCAUAUUUAUUUUCUUACACGCCCUUUAAAGAAUAAACUUUUCUUCCCAUUAUAAUUAUUAAUUUACUUUUUUGAUGUCCACUAAGAAAAAUAGUAGUAAAUAUAAGAUAAUGCCUAUUAAGUUGUCCUAUUUAGUACUUAUAUUUUUUAAAAAAAAUUAAAUAAGAUUUGUAAAAGAUUUCAACCGUGUAGUAAAAAAUUAUUGCAAACGUUAAUUUCAUGUUAAAAGGUAUUUUGACGUAAUUUUUUUUCAAGUUAAAGUGAUUGUUUUUAAUAAAUAAAAGAAGUUAUAAUUAAAAGGCAAUCCAAUAAAUUACAAGAGGAAACCAAUUAUAAAAGGCCAAGUGAAGAUGGCCUUAACAAAAAAAGGAGAGGGCAAAAAUAAAAAUAUACAAGAAAAGGAAAUCAUCAAUGCACUACAAAUUUGACAUGUACAAUAACUUUGCUUAAAAAAAAGUGAAAUGUCUAAAAAGUCCUUGUGAGGACUACCAAACUUGUGAUUCUCCCUUAUAUAUAAGUACUAGUCUCGGGGGGGCCGUGCUAAGCUCGGGGCCAACCUCAAGAUCUAAAAAGUGAAAUGUCUAAAAAGUCCUUGUGAGGACUACCAAACUUGUGAUUCUUCCUUAUAUAUAUAUGUAUAUAUAUAUAUAUGUAUAUAUGUAUGUAUGUAUACUAGGUGGGAAUACACUGGGUAUGCUGUUGUUGAUAUGUAGGACAUACAACAAUAAAUAAUGUAAAUACAAAGUAAGAAAACAUGAAUGAAUGCAAGAAGAUGAUUUCAAUCAAACCUAAAAUAAGAAGAAAAGUAGAAGUAGAAGAAAUUGACUCACAAUUUUUAACUUCAUAAUUAUAAGUAAAGUUUAGCCGUAUCUUUAACAUCUCAAUAAACAUGGCCGAUGAGAUAUAAGAACAAUAUAAAUUUUAAUAAUAGUUAAUUUUUUAUUUAGACGAAUAUGAAUCCUUGUGGGUUAUUGCAUAUAGAUUCUAAAUAUAAUUAUAAGAUGUAGUUCUAACCAAAUUGAUUCUUAUUUACCUAUGUACGUAAUUCUAAUAAGUUGACUAAAGAAUCCUAAUUAAUUUAAGUUAUUGAUAUUACAUGUUUUUAUAUUUGGAAAAUGUAAGAAGCCCUAAUAUUCACUUUGGAAUUAACUAAAAUUGAACUUACUAAAUCUUUCCUUGUAAUUGUUUGAGUUAUGUUAAAAUUCAAAAAUUUUAAAAAUAAUGUAAAUUUUACAUUUAGAUUAAUUAUUGUAGGGUGUAGGUUGGUAGAAUCCUAUUCAACUCCUCCUUUAAUAUUUUAUAUUAAAAACUUAAAGUACUUAAACUUUACCUUAUAUAGAAAUCUGAGUAUAUGAUGUAUAAUUCCUUCAUGUUAGGUUUCUUUAUCUUAAUCAAAUAAAAAUUAACAUGGAAUUUGUGAUGCUUUUUUAUUAAUUAAAAUUUAAAAUUUACGUGUGUGGUUUUCACUUGUUAAAGGACAAUUUUCUUAAACUUUUCUUACCAUAUAUUUUAAGACUCCUUUUUCAUGUACACAGGGAUAAAACAAAACCUACUAAUAACAAUUUACCAUAUAUAUUUGAAUUACUUAAUUUUUUAAUAAUUAAUUAAUAAUUAAAGAAAAUAACUGAAAAGAUAAUUUUAUCUAUUGCGGAGUCUUUUUAUGAAAGGCAAAGAGUUGAAUCACUUUUCUAAGGGUCUUCACACUUUUAAUAUACUAGUUUAGGUGUACGCGCUUCGCGCGUGUAUCUUAGUUUAAUGAAUUCAAUUUUAUAAAAUCAUUCAAGAUAAUGAUUUUUCAAAAAGUGUAUUGCAUUUUUUGUUUGUUAGCAUCUUCACAUUACAGCUGCUUUCAGCUAUUAUUCAAUUCUAUGAAAAAAGUAGAAAUUAGCCAACCGAAAAGCAAGUAUCUUACUUUAAACACAAGAAAAUUUAUAAAGAAGAGUAUAUUCUCUUUAGUCCUCCCUUGAGCCAUUUUCCUUAGCUCUUGUCUCUUUCUUUAAUCCUCUCAAUCUCUCUUUUCAACUUAUUUAAUUUCAUAUCAACACAAUUAUUAUUUUGUUUGAAUUCUUUAGGCUUGUUAGCUUCUUCAGGAAAUUCCUUAACUAAUCUGUUCAACCCAAUUAAUUUCUCAACUUCAUUGGCUGAUGUAUGAUAUUCAAUAUGUUGGGAAGAUUCCUCGAAAAAUAUUUUUGUCAACUAACAUUUAUAUUUAGGAUUUUAUUAUAGUAGGUAGAUAGAUUAACUCAAUUUACAAUGAAUAAUGUACUUGAUUUGUCUUCAAACCUAAUUAGUAAGCCCAAAAUUGAAAGAGUCGGCUAUAAUACUAAAUUUAUAUGUUCAUCAUUCAAACAAAAGUUAUGCAAAUCAAGAUUCAACACUUAUUAUAAGCUUAUAUUUAGAACUCAACCAAUAAGUUUAAUUAAUAAUCCAAGUAUAAUACCAAUGAAAUAGUUAAAUAACAUAAUCAAAACAAAGUCACAAUUACAUAAAGGAAGAAAAAAAAAAGAGAUAAACCUUUGAUAUUUUUGACCACUUUACUUGAUGGCGACAUAUUUAUUUCUUUCAAUUUUUGAUUAAAAAUUUCCUAUUGAAAGAGAAACACGAGAAAUUAUCAAAAGAGAAAAUUAUAUUGUCAGUUGUGGAUGAUUUAAUCAUAAUUUAUAUCGUAUAAUCUUUAAAGUUAUUAACUAAAAAGAAUAAAGAAAGACAGAGAAGAUGAUAAUUAAUUAGGACUACACACACAAAAAAAGAAAAAGACAACUUGAAUUAAUAACGAAAUAAGGAGAAAAAAUAAAAGUAGAGCUAUGUUUCUUGUAAAUUUGAUCCAAAAUAUAUUAAUUAAAUAGAAUUGUAAUUUUUAUUUUAACCAAUUAAUUAAAGUUUUUAAAGAUUUAUUUAAGAUAGAAUUUUUAAUUGAUUUAAAAUUCCUAAAUUUUAGCUAAAAAAGAAAAAGAAAAAGAUAACUUGAAUUAAUAACGAAAUAAGGAGAAAAAAUAGAAGUAGAGCUAUGUUUCUUGUAAAUUUGAUCCAAAAUAUAUUAAUUAAAUAGAAUUGUAGAUUUUUUUUUCUUUAUAUAACAUAAAAUUUUAAGUGAUUUAGAAGUGUUAAAUAUUAUGAAUUCUUACUUAAAUUAAAUAACCAAAUCAAAAGAAGUUAUACCUAAAAUAAAUUGGGAACAAAACUUUUAGCAAAAAGGAUUCUUACGUGAAGAUAAAAAAUGUCAAAAUAGUACUCACCAAUUAAUUAAUAUUUUUAAAGAUUUAUUUAAGAAACAACUUUUAAUUGAUUUAAAAUGCCUAAAUUUUAGCUAUAUAAUUCUAAUAAGGAAAGGUUUAAGAACUAAAUUUUAAUGAAUUUUUAAGUUAUAAAUUUUUUUUAAAAUGUAAAAAUAUAUUUACGUCUAUUGCAUAUUUUUGUAAUGAAGGAUAAAAAGUUUAAAUUAUUUUUUUCAAGGGUUUUUACACUUUUAAUAUAUUAUAAAUAUAGAUAUAUAUAAAGGAGAAUUAAGACAGUUGUGAUGUGGCAUGUCCCUCCGUUCACAUUUAUCUUUUUUCUCUUUUUUUGACAAUUUUUUUAAUUUUUUUCUUUGUUUUCUACUCAAAAGGUUUAAACAAUAUACUAUCCAUUCAUUGAGUGUAAUUAAUAAUUAUUGUAAUUAAGCUAAUGAAAUUGAAAAGUCCCCAUCAACUAUAUAGUCUGCUGUCCAUCGUGCCAUCUCCCCUUUAUUAAUUUUGAGAAUAUUAAUUUUAUUACAUACUCAGAAAAAUCAACCGUCAUCUUUAAUAAUCUUAAGCAUACCACUUUAUUCUAUUAAUUACACCUUUUCCUUUUCUCUGAAUCUGUUUCAGAUAGAAUUUUUUAUAUACCAGGUAAAUGAGAACAAAUUGAACAUAGGUCUAAUUAUCUAAAAUGAUUUGUUGGAAUUUAUUAGCACAUGGAAAAGAUAUCUUAUUUCUCUUAUAAUUUAGGUAGUUGAAUGGUAUUUAAUGCAUCGUGCAAGUAUUCUUUUUAUUUUUUUGUUUUUAUUUCUUCUUUGUUCAUUAUUUUAUUUUCGAAAUGUUUUUAACUUCGUUUAUCUAUCUUUUUUUUUCGAAAGAAAAUUUUAUUGUGAUUUUUCUUAAGUUUUUGAUGAAUUAGAACGUUAUCGCCCGCAAGUUAUCAACAUUUUAUCAUUAAUUCAUGGUGUCAAUAGACAACAUUUAUUUGUUGCGCUUAUCUACAGAUAGCGUACGGGAUUGGCCAUCUGCUAGGAAAAAAUAGAUGGAUGAAUAAGUUCAUACUGUCCUUGAGAUCGUGAAUUGAUUUUGUUACUAUCAGUAUUUUGUGCUUUAAAUUAUGCUUUGAGUGAUAAAUAAUUAAAUGAUCUUAGUAUAGGUGCUUCAACUAUGAAUGACGGGGUCUUUGCAGGGAGUUAUUAUUUUUCUACUACUCCAAAUAGAAUUUUUCGUCAUUCACCUUCUUCCACAAAUUUUCUACUAAUAGAAUUUUUUUCAUCAUUCACCUUUUUUCACAAUUGUAAAUGCUAAUUAGGAUUUGCAUUUAAAAUACAUAAUCUGUCUUAGAAUAAAAUAUUGUUAUUAUGUAUAAAGCUGGACAUAAAUAAAGUGAUAUAUGACACUUUUCUACGACUAACGUUACUAUUUAUUUUUUUGUGAAAUUUUUGAUAGUUUUCGUCAAUUUCUUCCUUCAAAUAUUAUUUAAAUAAAGGCUUCUUGUAUGCAUUGAUUGUUAAAGAAAAAAAUAUCUCUGUGUUGAAUUUUAAGGUAAAGAAAUUGUUAUUUUCCUGCAUUAAAACUAUUCUAAAUUCAUUAGAAUUAUACAUUCAGAAAAGAAUUGAAUUGAAUAAUAAAAUUUCAGUUUCAAAAACCCCUCAUUUUCGGAUACUAAAUGAAAGAAAAAUGAUGAUUUUGCAAAUUAUAUUAUGAUACAAUAAAAAGAUUGAAGAAGUGAACAAAGAAACAAAUGAUUGGUGUUGUGAAGGCGAAGUUGCAGGUUGGCAUCGACAAACCAAUAAGUGAUCCACAUGAAGCAUCAAUUAUUCAGUAUCACCGGGCUUUUCUUUUUUGACUUUUAUUUUGGUGAAUUAUUCUUUAACAUGGUGAGCACAUAUCUAAAAGUACUGUUGAUCUUUAUUUAUAAGUCUGGAAGUGUGAAAUUGCGUUUGAAAUGUAUCAUUUCUGUGUGGUACCUAUAUUGCUUGAACCUUUUAAAAUUAUUGAUGUAUCCUCCAAAGUGUACUAUUUCUGAAGAAUUCAUAUAUAGGCGUUGAUAUUUUUAAAGAGUUUAAUUAACAUAAUGUGGUAUUGUGUAGCCUCUUUUCAGAUUUGAUUUGUGCAAGUAAUUUCAAAUAUACAUAUCAAUGAGAUGAGUGUGUGAAUAUUUGUGGUAAGUUAAAAUUGCACUGUAACGAAAAAAGUGACUAUUCACUUCGGUAUAUGUAAUUGAAAUUGUGCCAAGUAUGUCUGUCAAAAAGAGCGAAAAUCGUUUUCCCUGAAGUUUGUCUUAAAAAUCAAUCUCCAACUAUCAACAAUAAUCAACCUCCCCCCUUUAUCCCAUGCAAUAUCCAUUUUUUCCUUGUAAUAUGAUAAUGUUUAUGGACAUUGCAUAAAAACAUAAACAUUUAUCUUCAUUUUUAAAAAAAAAUCAUAUAACAAAAUCUUCAUAAAAACAUAAACAUUAUCUUCUAAGAAAAAAAUAACUAAUUAAGUAUAUAAGCUAAUGAUGAUCUUUAUGAAGUAAAUUAGCAUGAUAUAAGAAAAUAAGUUUUAUUAAUAAUAAUCAAAAAUAUAAUAUUUAUUUUACAAGUGAAAAUAAUAAGUAAUACUAAUUUUAUAAACAUAUUUCAAUGCAAAAAAUACGAACAAUAAAUGAAAGAGAUUAGUCUCUAGUAAAACCUUUAUUACAUAAAAUGGAGCCCACGUCAAAGGUGUUACGCCAUCUAAAAUAAUUGACAAAGGGUAUCAUGUUAGCUAAAAAGUUUGACAAAAAUACGCUAAAAUUUAGUUUAAGGGGUAAUAGGACCCCCGUGUAGUUGACGUGUGUCGUAGCAAAUCUGAUCAUAGUUCGGGGGCACUAGAUGUUUUUUUCGAAUAAAAAUAAGGUCAAAUUUUAAAGAUUAUAUUAUUUAUAUAAAUUAUAAAAUAUGUAAUACUCUAUUAAUGACAAUCACAACUUAUUUACUGAUAUAGACAAUAGAUAAUAUCGUUUCUUAUCACUUGAUCCUCA
rnacentral:lncRNA from 1 species